rnacentral:rRNA from 1 species
UACAGAGGUGGCAAGCGUUGUUCGGAAUUACUGGGCGUAAAGGGCGAGUAGGCGGCCUCCUAAGUCAGACGUGAAAUCCCCCGGCUUAACCUGGGAACUGCGUCUGAUACUGGGAAGCUUGAGUAUGGGAGAGGGAGGUAGAAUUCCAGGUGUAGCGGUGAAAUGCGUAGAUAUCUGGAGGAAUACCGGUGGCGAAGGCGGCCUCCUGGACCAUAACUGACGCUGAUCCGCGAAAGCUAGGGGAGCAAACGGG